rnacentral:rRNA from 1 species
UACGUAGGCAGCAAGCGUUGUUCGGAGUUACUGGGCGUAAAGGGUGCGUAGGCGGUUGUUUAAGUUUGGUGUGAAAUCUCCCGGCUCAACUGGGAGGGUGCGCCGAAUACUGAAUGACUUGGAGUGCGGGAGAGGAGAGUGGAAUUCCUGGUGUAGCGGUGAAAUGCGUAGAUAUCAGGAGGAACACCGGUGGUGUAGACGGCUCUCUGGACCGUAACUGACGCUGAGACACGAAAGCGUGGGUAGCAAACAGG